ensembl:lincRNA
CUGGGAAGCUGCCGUAAGGCUGUGCUAUGGCAAAAACAAGGAGCAAAUAACAAAUAACCUCCAUGGGGUCCAGGAGACAGUGGGUCCACGGUGGGAGAUCUCUGAAGAGAGUUCCUGGAAGAUAACAGUUCUCGGCCCUAGAAGGAUCACGUCUUCACAGACAUGGGAGAAGAGGGCUUCUGGGACACACACAAGUUUCUCCAAAGUGCAGGCCAUGGAUGGUGUGAAGGUGCCCUGCGGAUGCUGUGACAGAGCCUGGGCACAGCUUUGCAAAUCUGCUUCUUUAUGCUGCACGUUCUCAUCACAGAUGGUCUCACUGUCCUUGCCCACCACUACUGGCCCUGAAAUUGCAAGGCCGUGUGGACCUGGGGCUAUGGUGAGUUCUUGCAUUUUAGCCUUGAAGGGUAACAUAGUGAUGUGUUUUUCUCUCUCUUUUAUAGCAUUUUUUCAUGUACCUUUGCUUGGAAGGGAAUUAGUUUGUAACACAGUCUUUUCGUUUCAGGAGAUUUAUCAAUAUUUAUUUUGGCCACCUGAUGCGAAGAGCUGACUCACUUGAAAAGACCCUGAUGUUGGGAAAGAUUGAAGGCAGAAGGAGAAGGGGACGACAGAGAAUGAGAUGGUUGGAUGGCAUCACCGACUCAAUGGACAUGGGUUUGGGUAGACUCCGGGAGUUGGUGACGGACAGGGAGGCCUGGCAUGCUGUGGUUCAUGGGGUCUCAAAGAGUCGGACACAACUGAGUGGCUGAACUGAACUGAUCAAUAUUUAUACUGGUUUGGAAUUUCAGGCUGAACACUACUGAAAAUCUUAUUCCCACAGAUUACCAAUUCAACAAAAGAUCUGGAUACUUACCUAGAAGAAUUUCCUUUGCAGAGGUCACAUUUCUAAAUUCUCCUUUGUAUUGGUUUUCGACCAGGUGUUUAUAAUAUAUUAACAGCUAUGUUUGACAAACCAAAUGAACCAGUCUCUGUCUUCAUGGAGUAUAAAUUGUGAAAGAGAUGUUGACAGAUAUACAUAAAGAGGGCAACCUUUGGCUAAUGUAUUUUGUUAUU